rnacentral:rRNA from 1 species
CGCGUAGGCGGGCCAUCAAGUCGAGGGUGAAAGCCCCCAGCUCAACUGGGGAAGUGCCUCCGAUACUGGUGGUCUCGAGGGGGAUAGGGGCAUGCGGAACUUCCGGUGGAGCGGUGAAAUGCGUAGAUAUCGGAAGGAACACCGGUGGCGAAAGCGGCGUGCUGGAUCCCUUCUGACGCUGAGGCGCGAAAGCCAGGGGAGCGAACG